rnacentral:tRNA from 1 species
UCCCUGGUGGCUCAGACAGUAAAGCAUCUGCCUGCAAAUCUGGAGACCCAGGUUUGAUCCCUGGGUUGGGAA